CACAAUGUGAAAAAAGUCAUGGGGUCUGAAUACUUUCUGAAUCCACUAUUUCCCAUGCAAAUAAAGCUCCUUUGAUUUGAAUUGAGACGAGAAAUGAACAUCAACAUGACCUUUCAUGAUGUGAAGGGGAAGACAGGCUUAUCGUUGGUCAGAGGUCAAGCUGAGCUGGACCAAAAGUGGAAGAGUGCAAAUGAUUACUGGUUAUGAUCACUGGUGAGAAGUCAGUUUUGAAAAUAUAUUCUGUGUACGUACAUCUCCCUUCCCCUUUAUCUCUCCUCCACAAAUCUCUCUCUCCCCUCCCCUCUUUCUCCACUACUCUCUUUCUCCACUACUCUCCUCUGCCCUACCCACCCCUCCUCUCUCCUCCAUCUUUCUCUGCACAUCUCUCUCUCUCUCUCUCUCUCUCUCUCUAUCUCUUCCUGACAUGUAGCAUCAGGCCUGUUGAUCUUGACUCAGGUCAUAGACCUCUAGCUUCUACAACACCCCUCCC
rnacentral:lncRNA from 1 species